rnacentral:rRNA from 1 species
GUCUACGGCCAUCCCACCCUGAAUGCGCCCGUUCUCAUCUGAUCUCGGAAGCUAAGCAGCGUGGACCCUGGUUAACACUUGGAUGGGAACAUAUAAUAAUCCUAUCACAACAUUCAGAAAAAGCUGCAUGUU